UACAGACAUCGCACAGUAGUCAUUAUCACCGGAACAUCUCAGCCCAGGCAUGGCACCCCCGAUCCGGAGAGCCCCCUGGUGUGCCUGCCAGCUCCAGUUCCCUCAACCAGGGCAGAGUUUGUUCCCAUCUUUAGACCAGAAGAGAAAGCCUGAACAGAGACCAGAAUGGGUGUUGCAUCCUGCCUCUCCUGAGCACCACAUUGGCCUGGCUGCUCAAGGCUGCCUGGAGACCACCGUGCACUGCCCUGAUCUGUCAUUCACCAGGACAGCCCUGCUCAACCUCGUGGGAGCAGCUCACCCACAGCCUCCUCACCGACCUCCCGGGCAGCUUGUCGGAGCCGUCUCUUUGCCUAACACAGAAGCUUUGGAAUGAAGCAGGGAGAGAAAGACAGCGUGGAUAGCAGAUCUGCACGUGAAACACAGAUCAAACACGGCCCACAGAAACAAUGGUAGGAAGCAUAACCAGAGUGAAUCGAUUCCUUGAUCCUGCUCUGCCAAAAAAUUAAAGAGGAGCACUCCUGGGGUUUUUAACCCAGAUAAGACUUCAGCCACAGCCGUAUUUCCCAUGUUCCUGGAUCUCUUGUUCUGGCUCUUAUUCUGCGGAUAAAAUGUGGAAUAGAGUAAGCAGUGUCGAGUUCUGCCGGUUCAUCUGGCUUUUUAAAAAAAAAUUAAAUGGCUCUAUCUCUUUGCCCUCAACACUUCUGCACACGCACAUGUGCACGCACACAGCCUUGUUUUACCUUUUCUCCAGAACUAAACUGGACAGACUUUGCCAUUUCUUUCAACAGGACAAGGAGAAGGUAGAAAGGGCCCUCUCAGGCAUCAGCCUCUUAAAAGGACAAAUUUCUUGAAGCAAAGAAAGUUCUAGUCCCCAGUCUGAGACCCAUUCUGUCUCUCCAUCCCCAAGUGAUGACACAACCCCUUCGUUCUCAAAGAUCUGUUUAAAUAUGUAGGUGGUCUUGCUUGAGUCAACUGGUUUUUAUGUCAGCAUUGACCUCAGUCCUGAGAUCCUAGAUUGCCCAGCUGGCAGAGCACUGGAGGGUAGAGCUCGCUGCAAGUGAGGCCAGCCCACCCCCAGCCUUCUGAUGGGCCACUGAGGCCACCCCGUUGGGCUGGUCAUCUGCAGCCGGUGUCCUCUCCUGACCUCUGCUCUAAUCUCAAGGGCACCCUUUAUUUAGACACCACAGUCCAGCCUGAGCCUCAAGUCCUCGAUUCAUUGGCUGGACAUGAGCCAGGGACAGCCACAGGCUGGCUCCAGAGGGCUCCCCAAAAGAGGCCACAGAGGCCCCAGGAGGCAGGCUCUGGCCGAGCUGGAACAGAGAACGGAGGUUUAAAUUUCCGAGGCCUCAGUUCGAAUUCCAGCUCUCUCACUGGCGAUGACCUUGAUCCGUGGGGUAACUUCCCUGAGCCUGGUGCCUGCAUCAAUCAAAUGGAAGAGGAGAAGACCACGUGAACGUGGAGCAGAGUGAGAUGCAAAGAUGCUGGCCUUGACGUUUGUAGUGAUUAGUGAGGCAGCCACAAGCCAAGGAAGGCCAGCAGCCACCAGAAGCCAGAAGAGGCAAGGAACAGAUUUUUCACUGGAUUCUCAUGAGAAAGUAUGGCCCAGUGAAACUGACUUCAGGCUUCUAGCUUCCAGAACCAUAAGAGAAUAUAUUCCUACUGUUUUAAGCCACCAAAUUGUGGUCAUUUGUUAUAGGCAGCCAUAGGAAGCUAAGACAGAAUUUACAAAGGGCCUCCGGGAGACCUCUGUGAAAUGGUACUAGAUAUUGACUUGUAUUAUCUUAAUGGGCCCUGACAACGAGCUUUUAAGGUAGUGGGCAAGGCAAGCCUUGUCAGUGUUUUACUGAUUAGGAAAUGGAGGCUCUGAGAAAUUAAGUGUCUUGUUCGAGGUCACAUGUUGUUUGGUGGCAGAGCUGGGACUGGAACAGAGGUGACCCAGAGCCUGGUGCUGGUCCCUUUCCACCACCCGCCAUGCCCUGUGCCCACCCUCCCUCCUCUGACCAAGUCUAAGCAAGUGGAAAGGAGGGCUUGGCCUCCAGUGGGAGCUUAGCAAGGCCUCUCAAGGGCCUGGAAGACAAGGGGACCCUUCUCUAGCCCCCUGCCUGGCCCUGGGUGUUUGCAUUUGGACAUGUGCUGUGGCAGAGGCAUCACGGGGGCACUGGAUGCUCCAUCUGGAGUUACGUCUCUUCUCCUAGAGGAAAGGGAAUCCAGGGACAUGAAUUCUCUCUCAGUGACUCACCUCUGAGCCCUGUCAGGUCUCCCCGGGCCUCAGAUUCCUCUGUGGUGACAUGGAAAUAAUAACAGGGCCGCCCCCUCCUUGAGGAGCUGUGGAAUUAGAGAAUGAGCCUGCACAGAAAUGCCCACGCCUCCAGAAUGGCAACAGUGCCCAGUCCAGGGCUUUCUCAGAUUCCUGAAGAUGGAGCUUGGGAAGAAAGAGAUUGCCUGCUCUCUUAACCCCAGAUGGGAAGGUAGCAGACAGCCCAGCCUGCUCAGCCAUGCUCUCACUGUGGAGGGGACAGUGACUCACCAGUCCUUCUUCACCAGCCUGGCAAGAAUAUCCCUCAACAUCAUCCAACUCCUGUUAUAUCACUUCCAUAGUUACUAAACCCUCCAGUGAACCCUUGCUGCAUCACAGAGGACCCUAAAACCUAGUGGCUUAAAACAACAGCCAUUUUAUUAUCUUUCAUGAUGAUGGGGGUCAGGAAUUAGGGCAGGGCUCAGUUGGGUGAUUCUUCAGCAACACAUGGCAUUGAAUGGGGUCACUUGAUGAUAUUCAUCUAGUAACUGCUCUAGUCUGGAGGAUCCAAGAUGGCCCCACUCCUGUGCCUGGUGCCUUGGCAAGGGAGGCUGGAGGGCUGGCUCAGCAGGGCUUCUCUCCCUUUCCAUGUAGCAUUGUGACCAUUCCACGGGGUCUCUCCAGCAGUGUGGUCCAGCUUCUCACAUGGUGACUUGGAGCUCCAAGGAACCAAGGCAGGAGCCUUUGAAAAGUCUAAGCCUGACACUGGCAUGGCAUCACUUCUGCCAUCCUCCAUUAGUCAAAGCAGCUUGGGCCCAGCCCAGACUCAGGGAAGGGGUAACUGACCCCACUUCUCCAUAGGAGAAGCCUCAAAGUUUCUGUGGUCCUCUUUAAAUGGCCAAGCAAUCUUUGGACCCAGGGCCCAGGCUCCUGGGUAGGUCUGUCUGCCCAUCAGGAAGUUCUGUGCCCAAGGUCAAUCCCAUUACUCACUCCAGACUGAACUUAUGGGCUGAAUUGUUCCCCUCAAAUUCAUAUGUUGAAGUCUCAGGACCUCAGAACGUGACCUUAUUUGGAGAUAGGGCCUUUACAAAGAUAAUCGAGUUAAAAUAAAGCUAUUAGGGUGGGCUUAAUCCAAUCUGACUGUUGUCCUCAUAAGAAGAGGGAAU
rnacentral:lncRNA from 10 species